ACAGCGGAAGGGAUCAUUACCGAGUUUACAACUCCCAAACCCCUGUGAACAUACCUUAAUGUUGCCUCGGCGGAUCAGCCCGCGCCCCGUAAAACGGGACGGCCCGCCAGAGGACCCAAACUCUAAUGUUUCUUAUUGUAACUUCUGAGUAAAACAAACAAAUAAAUCAAAACUUUCAACAACGGAUCUCUUGGUUCUGGCAUCGAUGAAGAACGCAGCAAAAUGCGAUAAGUAAUGUGAAUUGCAGAAUUCAGUGAAUCAUCGAAUCUUUGAACGCACAUUGCGCCCGCUGGUAUUCCGGCGGGCAUGCCUGUUCGAGCGUCAUUUCAACCCUCAAGCCCCCGGGUUUGGUGUUGGGGAUCGGCUCUGCCCUUCUGGGCGGUGCCGCCCCCGAAAUACAUUGGCGGUCUCGCUGCAGCCUCCAUUGCGUAGUAGCUAACACCUCGCAACUGGAACGCGGCGCGGCCAUGCCGUAAAACCCCAACUUCUGAAUGUUGACCUCGGAUCAGGUAGGAAUACCCGCUGAACUUAAGCAUAUCAAUAAGCGGAGGAA
rnacentral:rRNA from 1 species